CCCCACUCAGAGUCACACCUGGAGAGUUUCCAAUACUCUACCAGUCUCGGCUAUGGGAGGGAGAGUCAAGCAGAGGUCUACCCAUUCCAUUCCUAGCUUGGGCAGUGACUAGUGAGUGGAAGGCAAUCUGCUACAAGU